ensembl:lncRNA
GUUUUCCCAUCUAUUUGCCAUGAAGUGAUGGUUUCUCAUGAUGUACUUUGCAUAGAAGUUAAAUAAGCAGGGUGACAAUAUACAGCCUUGAUGUACUCCUUUUCCUAUUUGGAACCAGUCUGUUGUUCCAUGUCCAGUUCUAACUGUUGCUUCCUGACCUGCAUAUAGGUUUCUCAAGAGGCAGGUCAGGUGGUCUGGUAUUCCCAUCUCUUUCAGAAAUUUCCACAGUUUAUUGUGAUCCACACAGUCAAAGGCUUUGGCAUAGUCAAUAAAGCAGAAAUAGAUGUUUUUCUGGAACUCUCUUCCUUUUGGUGGAGUCAAAAGUUACAUGUGGAUUUUUGACCCCCUCGGUUGCACCAGUAACUCCAGUGUUGUUCCAGGGUCAACUCUAUAAAGAAACACAAGUAAGGGACUAUUUUACUGGUUACUUGAGGGAGAAGGAUAUGAGUGGAAUGGGGCUCAUAGAGUGUCUUCUCAGUGACUGGAAAAAUUUUGUUUCUUGACCAGGAUGGUAGUUAUAAGGUUGUUAUAGUGAUUUAUUAAUAUAUGCCUUACAACUAAAUUAAUGGUAGUUAAUUACAUUUAACUACAUUAAAUGUUAAUAUAAUGUUAUAUCAAUGUUAAAUAUUAAUAAGUGUUAAAUAUAAGUAUUUACUAUAAGUAUUAAAUUGAAUAUAUAUGCCUUAUAGUGAUUCAUUACAUUAUACAUUCAUUUUUGUGUGAUUUUCUAUAUCUAGGCUUUGUUUUCCAAUAAAAAGUUUAAAAGUAAUGUAAACAAAUUGCAAGGCAGAAAUUUGUGGAAUCGUCUCACAUCAACACAAACACAGUGGGUUUUUGUAACUUUGUUUUCACUGUUUUUAGAGCUAUAAUGUAAUGACAAUUACAGGAACUGGCCACUAGGGUGUGUUCUUCGUUGCCCGUAACUUCUGUGUUUCCACUGAGAAAAGGAGGUUUUUAAAUGUGUGUGUAACGCCGUGUGAUACUAGGAUAAAGGACUCAUCAUCCUUUGAUUACAGUCAACAAAGAGAUGGUCACACAAGAAGGUGUCUUCAGGGGUUUCCCCGGUGGCUUAGCGGUAAAGAACAAACUUGCCAAGGCAGGAGACAGUUUCGUUCCUUGGUCUGGCAAGAUCCCACACACCAUGGAAUAACUAAGCCCAUGUGCCACAACUUCCGAGCCUGUGCUCUAGGGCCAGAGAGCCUCCCCUACUGAGCACACGCAGCCUAGAGCCUGGGUUCCACAAGAGAAGCCACUGCAACGAGAAGACUGCACGCUGCAACCAGAGAGUCGCCGCCACUUGAUGCAACUGGAGAAAAGUCUGCAUGCAGCAACGAAGACCCGGCACAGCGGACAAUAAAUAAGUAAAUAAAAUUAUUUUUUAAAAAAAG